rnacentral:rRNA from 1 species
CUACGGGAGGCACCAGUGGGGAAUAUUGGACAAUGGGGGAAACCCUGAUCCAGCAAUGCCGCGUGUGUGAAGAAGGCCUGCGGGUUGUAAGGCACUUUCGGUUGGGAGGACUGCUUCUAGCACUAAUAUUGUUGGAAGUUGACGUUACCUUCAGAAGAAGCACCGGCUAACUCCGUGCCAGCAGCCGCGGUAAUGCGGAGGGUGCAAGCGUUAAUCGGAAUUACUGGGCGUAAAGCGCGCGUAGGCGGCUAGAUCAGUCGGGUGUGAAAGCCCCGGGCUUAACCUGGGAACUGCAUCCGAUACUGUCUAGCUUGAGUACAGGAGAGGAGAGUGGAAUUCCACAUGUAGCGGUGAAAUGCGUAGAUAUGUGGAGGAACACCAAUGGCGAAGGCAGCUCUCUGGCCUGAUACUGACGCUGAGGUGCGAAAGCGUGGGGAGCAAACAGGAUUAGAUACCCGGGUAGUC